UACACUCCUGCGGGAGGCAGCAGUGGGGAAUAUUGCACAAUGGGCGCAAGCCUGAUGCAGCCAUGCCGCGUGUGUGAAGAAGGCCUUCGGGUUGUAAAGCACUUUCAGCGGGGAGGAAGGCGAUACGGUUAAUAACCGUGUUGAUUGACGUUACCCGCAGAAGAAGCACCGGCUAACUCCGUGCCAGCAGCCGCGGUAAUACGGAGGGUGCAAGCGUUAAUCGGAAUUACUGGGCGUAAAGCGCACGCAGGCGGUCUGUCAAGUCGGAUGUGAAAUCCCCGGGCUCAACCUGGGAACUGCAUUCGAAACUGGCAGGCUUGAGUCUUGUAGAGGGGGGUAGAAUUCCAGGUGUAGCGGUGAAAUGCGUAGAGAUCUGGAGGAAUACCGGUGGCGAAGGCGGCCCCCUGGACAAAGACUGACGCUCAGGUGCGAAAGCGUGGGGAGCAAACAGGAUUAGAAACCCGUGUAGUCCCAUG
rnacentral:rRNA from 1 species